rfam:Haemonchus contortus, ISE/inbred ISE, WGS project CAVP01000000 data, contig: Hcontortus_37588
GAGGGUGUAGUAAGGUUGACUUGCUCAGAAGCUUGUUUAUUCUUCUAAGCUCUUCACUCUUAUAGACACCUUCA